rnacentral:rRNA from 1 species
GACGAACGCUGGCGGCGUGCUUAACACAUGCAAGUCGAACGAAGUGGCGAACGGGUGAGUAACGCGUAAUAAACCUGCCCUUCAGAGGGGGACAACAGUUGGAAACGACUGCUAAUACCGCAUACUGAAGGAGGGGAUUGCGUCUGAUUAGCUCGUUGGAGGGGUAACCGCCCCCCAAGUCGAUGAUCAGUAGCCGGGGUGAGAGGAUGAACGGCCACAUUGGGAAUGAGACACGGCCCAGAAUCCCACGGGGGGCAGCAGUGGGGAAUCUUCCGCAAUGGAGGAAAGUCUGACGGCGCAACGCCGCGUGAGUGAUGAAGGCCUUUGGGUUGGAAAGCUAUGUUAAUCGGGACGCGGUACCGGAAUAGAAAGCCACGGCUAACUACGUGCCAGCAGCCGCGGUAAUUC